rnacentral:misc_RNA from 1 species
AACGCACCUUGCGCUCCUUGGUAUUCCGAGGAGCAUGCCUGUUUGAGUGUCAUUAAAUUCUCAACUUCAACUUUGUUGUUGAAGCUUGGAUGUGGGGGUUUUGCAGGUCUGCCUUAAUUGUGUGGUCUGCUCUCCUGAAAUAUAUUAGCGGGUUGGCUUCCCUCUAUCAGUGUGAUAAUUAUCUACGCUGUGGAUGGGUUUGGCUUUCAGACCAGCUUCUAAUCGUCCUUUUAGGACAAUCUCUUGACAUUUUUGACCUCAAAUCAGGUAGGACUACCCGCUGAACUUAA